UACGUAGGGUGCGAGCAUUGUCCGGAAUUAUUGGGCGUAAAGCGCACGUAGGCGGCCUUGUAAGUCUCACUGUGAAAGCCCGGGGCUCAACCCCGGGAGGCCAGGGGAUACUGCAAGGCUGGAGACAAGCAGAGGUUGGUAGAAUUCCGGGUGUAGCGGUGGAAUGCGUAGAGAUCCGGAGGAAUACCAGAGGCGAAGGCGGCCAACUGGGCUUGUUCUGACGCUGAGGUGCGAAAGCGUGGGGAGCGAACAGG
rnacentral:rRNA from 1 species